UACGGAGGAUGCGAGCGUUAUCCGGAUUUAUUGGGUUUAAAGGGUGCGUAGGCGGACGCUUAAGUCAGCGGUAAAAUUGCGGGGCUCAACCUCGUCGAGCCGUUGAAACUGGGUGUCUUGAGUGGGCGAGAAGUGCGCGGAAUGCGUGGUGUAGCGGUGAAAUGCAUAGAUAUCACGCAGAACUCCGAUUGCGAAGGCAGCGUACCGGCGCCCAACUGACGCUGAAGCACGAAGGCGUGGGUAUCGAACAGG
rnacentral:rRNA from 1 species